CGUGGCAAGGGUGUUUAUCAAGGGCCCUUGUUCCUGCUGUGAUGUCUGCGAUAUGACGCCCGGCUCCCCUCCCUCGCAGCACGCCCCCCCCCUCCCCGUCCACGGCCCCCCGCCCGCCGCGAGCCGGCCGGGCCCAGGCCUCAUUGGGCAUCUGCCGUCUGGGAAACGCGAACAGGGCUCCUGCCAGAAGAGGCAAGGCCUUUGUGCUUUAUUGAAAGAGACAGGAUUUAUUUUCAUUUUCCUUUGCCUCCUGUGCUUUGAGGUUCCCUAAAGCCAGGGGAUUCCGGAAUAAGCAAAGAAACCAGAUCCCCCAUAAGAGUGGCUUUCUGGCUAAUUGCCUGGGUGAGGAUUAACUUCAAGUCCUCUCCUGCUUUGAAAUCUGCCUUCUCAUUAGGCUUUGCUGAUCCUCAGGUAGGACAGCUCCCACCCACCCCCGUUUCACGUUAAGGACGUUUCUAGGAAUCUCACCCUUUCUUCGUACGGGGGGUUUGGGGCCGGAUGGAGGGCCGUGGCGGCUCUGUUCCCGUCCCGGGCUCACCUGUGCCCCCAGCCCCCUGCUUAGGCCUCCCUGACCAGCAGACCAGUCUCUGCUUCCCCGGAAGGCGCCGGGGCGUGCAUGAGGCAGGCAGUGGCUGGAGCAGGUGUGGGGCCCUCUGGAGCAGGGCUGUGCGCCACAGGGCGUUGGAACCGGCCGCACAGACUUACAAGAGCCAGUUCCCUGUUUAGUGACAUUGCACAGGACCCAUGCACCUGCCAGGCACUUCCGUACAGAAGCAGAGACUAAGCAGGUGAGCUGGAACCAGGAAGAACCAGAGAGUGGGUCUGCUUUCCUGGGUAACAGAGCUGGAACUUCGAGGCUCCUGUCCGGCUGGAACAGCGUCAGGGCCGGCCACACCUGCACCUGCCCCUGAGCGGCCUGGGCUGCAGCAUCCUCUGCCCAAAGAGUGUCUGAACGGUGUCUGUGACCAAUCUGAAGACCAGUUUCUCCUCCUCUCCCACCUUGAAUGGGGUCUGAGCAUCCUGGGAAAGAAUGGGUACUGGCACCUUGGCCAACUCAUCGACUAUUCCCGCCCCCCUCCCAUCAUCCAAGCAAAGACCUAGAGUACCCUAGAUUCUUCCUAACUGCCUCGUUCUGAGACACCCCAUGAUCCCGCAGGCUGGGUGCUCUGUUUCCCUGUGCGAAGUAAUAAAUCCAAUUUGUCCAACCA